GGCCUAACGGCUGAACUGGCAACUUGGAGAAGUGGCAAGUCUUCCAGUAUGGGGAGCAAAACAGCUAUGGGUCAAGUCCGAUAUCUUUAGGAGAAGUCUUAUUGUGAGGGCGAGUUAUAUAACACCAUAGGACUGGCCGUCCCAUAUGAAAAGAUUAUAUUAGAAUUGAAUGAAGCUUUGUUUAUAUAUUGAUAAUGACAGUAUAUAUAUCGUGUCUUGACUAAUUGCGUGCCAGCAGUCGCGGUAAUACGUAAGAGACUAGUGUUAUUCAUCUUAAUUAGGUUUAAAGGGUACCCAGACGGUCAAUAUAGCUUAUAAAAUGUUAGUACUUGACUAGAGUUUUAUGUAAGAGGGCAGUACUUGAGGAGGAGAGAUGAAAUUUCGUGAUACCAAAGGGACUCUGUAAAGGCGAAGGCAGCCCUCUAUGUAAAAACUGACGUUGAAGGACGAAGGCACAGAGAACAAACAGGAUUAGAUACCCAAGUAGUCUUUGCAGUAAAUGAUGAAUGCCAUAGGUUAGAUUGAUCAAUUAUAGUCUAGGGUUAGUCUAGCAAACUAAUGCCCUAUGAUAUAAUUCAAAAUAUCUGGUCUAUAAAUGAAAGUGUAAGCAUUUCACCUCAAGAGUAAUGUGGCAACGCAGGAACUGAAAUCACUAGACCGUUUCUGACACCAGUAGUGAAGUAUGUUAUUUA
rnacentral:rRNA from 1 species